rnacentral:rRNA from 1 species
AGUGAACGCUGGCGGUAGGCCUAACACAUGCAAGUCGAACGGCAGCACAGUAAGAGCUUGCUCUUACGGGUGGCGAGUGGCGGACGGGUGAGGAAUACAUCGGAAUCUACUUUUUCGUGGGGGAUAACGUAGGGAAACUUACGCUAAUACCGCAUACGACCUACGGGUGAAAGCAGCGGAUCUUCGGACCUUGCGCGAUUGAAUGAGCCGAUGUCGGAUUAGCUAGUUGGCGGGGUAAAGGCCCACCAAGGCGACGAUCCGUAGCUGGUCUGAGAGGAUGAUCAGCCACACUGGAACUGAGACACGGUCCAGACUCCUACGGGAGGCAGCAGUGGGGAAUAUUGGACAAAGGGCGCAAGCCUGAUCCAGCCAUACCGCGUGGGUGAAGAAGGCCUUCGGGUUGUAAAGCCCUUUUGUUGGGAAAGAAAAGCAGCAGGUUAAUACCCCGCUGUUCUGACGGUACCCAAAGAAUAAGCACCGGCUAACUUCGUG